rnacentral:rRNA from 1 species
AAUUUUGGACAAUGGGGGCAACCCUGAUCCAGCCAUCCCGCGUGUGCGAUGAAGGCCUGCGGGUUGUAAAGCACUUUUGGCAGGGAAGAAAAGGCUCUGGCUAAUAACUGUCUCUGCUGACGGUACGUGCAGACUAAGCACCGACUAACUACGUGCCUGCAGCCGCGGUAAUACGUAGGGUGCAAGCGUUAAUCGGAAUUACUGGGCGUACAGCGUGCGCAGGCGGUUCGGCAAGAAGGAUGUGAAAUCACAGGGCUUAACCUUGGAACUGCAUUCUUAACUGCCGAGCUAGAGUAUGUCAGAGGGGGGUAGAAUUCCGCGUGUAGCAGUGAAAUGCGUAGAGAUGCGGAGGAAUACCGAUGGCGAAGGCAGCCCCCUGGGAUAAUACUGACGCUCAUGCACGAAAGCGUGGGGAGCAAAC